rnacentral:rRNA from 1 species
GUCAGAGGUGAAAUUCUUGGAUUUAUGGAAGACGAACAACAGCGAAAGCAUCUGCCAAGGAUGUUUUCAUUGAUCAAGAACGAAAGUUAGGGGAUCGAAGACGAUUAGAUACCGUCGUAGUCUUAACCAUAAACGAUGCCGACUCGGGAUCGGUGGAGCACAAGAUACUCCAUCGGCACCGUAGGAGAAAUCAAAGUGUUUGGGUUCUGGGGGGAGUAUGGUCGCAAGGCUGAAACUUAAAGGAAUUGACGGAAGGGCACCACCAGGAGUGGAGCCUGCGGCUUAAUUUGACUCAACACGGGAAAACUUACCAGGUCCGGACAUAGGGAGGAUUGACAGAUUGAGAGCUCUUUCUUGAUUCUAUGGGAUUCCGUUUAACGAACGAGACCUUAACCUGCUUAACUAGCGGCGCGAAACGCGGUUUCGCGGUCGCHUCUUAGAGGGACGAUCUGCGUCUAGCAGAGGGAAGUUUGAGGCAAUAACAGGUCUGUGAUGCCCUUAGAUGUCCUGGGCUGCACGCGCGCUACACUGAUGCAGGCAACGAGCGCCSUGCGCCGAGAGGCGUGGCGAAUCUGCCAAUCUGCAUCGUGCUGGGGAUAGACCCUUGGAAUUAUGGGUCUUCAACGAGGAAUUCCUUGUAAGCGCGAGUCAUCAGCUCGCGUUGAUUACGUCCCUGCCCUU